GCCAGGCUUGGUGGCCCACACCUGUAGUCCCAGCUACUCGUGAGGCUGAGACAGGAGGCUCUCUUGAGUCCAGAGUUCUGGGCUAUAGUGUGCUAUGCCGAACUGGUGUCUGCACUAAGUUUGGCAUCAUUAUGGUUACCUCCUAGGAGCAGGGGAGCACCAGGUUGCCUAAGAAGGGGCGAACCGGCCCAGGUCAGAAACUGAGCAGGUCAAAACUCCCAUGCUCAUCAGUAGUGGGAUCUUGCCUGUGAAUAGCCACUGCACUCCAGUCUGGGCAACAUAUUGAGACUCCAUU
rnacentral:SRP_RNA from 1 species